rnacentral:rRNA from 1 species
AUUGAACGCUGGCGGAAUGCUUUACACAUGCAAGUCGAACGGCAGCACGGGGGCAGCCCUCGCGGCGAGUGGCGAACGGGCGAGUAAUACAUCGGAACGUGCCCGGCCGCUGGUGAUAACGUAGCGACAGAUACGCUAAUACCGCAUACGAUCAGAGGACGUACGCGGGGGACCUUCGGGCCUUCCGCCCUCGCACCGUCCGAUGUCCGAUUAGGUAGUUGGUGGGGUAAAGGCCUACCAAGGCGACGAGCCGUAGCUGGUCUGAGAGGACGAGCAGCCACACUGGGACUGAGACACGGCCCAGACUCCUACGGGAGGCAGCAGUGGGGAAUUUUGGACAAUGGGCGCAAGCCUGAUCCAGCCAUUCCGCGUGCAGGACGAAGGCCUUCGGGUUGUAAAGUGCUUUUGUACGGAACGAAAAGGCUCUGGCUAAUACCUGGGGCUCAUGACGGUACCGUAAGAAUAAGCACCGGCUAACUACGUG